GCCGGAAUGGCGGAAUGGCAGACGCGACGGACUCAAAAUCCGUUGGCAGCGAUGUCGUGUGGGUUCAAGUCCCACUUCCGGCACGA
rnacentral:tRNA from 3 species